rnacentral:rRNA from 1 species
UACGGGAGGACAGCAGUGGGGAAGUAAUUGCACAAUGGGCGGCAAGCCUGAUGCAGCCAUGCCGCGUGUAUGAAGAAGGCCUUCGGGUUGUAAAGUACUUUCAGUCGUGAGGAAGGUGUUAAGGUUAAUAACCUUAGCAAUUGACGUUAGCGACAGAAGAAGCACCGGCUAACUCCGUGCCAGCAGCCGCGGUAAUACGGAGGGUGCGAGCGUUAAUCGGAAUUACUGGGCGUAAAGGGCACGCAGGCGGUUAAUUAAGUUGGAUGUGAAAUCCCCCGGGCUUAACCUGGGAAUGGCAUUUCAAGACUGGUUAGCUAGAGUCUUGUAGAGGGGGUAGAAUUCCAUGUGUAGCGGUGAAAUGCGUAGAGAUGUGGAGGAAUACCGGUGGCGAAGGCGGCCCCCUGGGACAAAGACUGACGCUCAUGUGCGAAAGCGUGGGGAGCAAAAC